rnacentral:lncRNA from 11 species
UUUAGAAGCAGGAAUCUGGUCAGCCGUGUGAUGGACCCAAACUUCAAGUAAAGGCAAAAACUGGAGGAACCAUUACAACAAUUGCAUUUCUUUCUAGAAACUCUUGCUGGUAUGCUUGAGCAAUUUGUAUUAUGGACAGACAAGGGUCCAUGUAUGUCUAAUAAAAAGGAGAGAAAAACAUCACUGCAAAAGAAGAUCAAAGAGGAUGUUGACUGCAGAAAAACUGCACCUGCUGCUAGUUCAUACUAGAGAUACAGUACUGUAGAGAAUUGCUAUAAAUUAGAUAGAAAUGUUAUAACAAAUUGGCCUAGCAAGUAAGAUUGUGAACAGGUGACUUUUAUGAACUGCUCAAUCUGCUCUCCAGAAACAAAUAGGGAACUUUUCUUUCUUACAGGAUUUUUGAUGGCCAGGAUCUUUGACGACCGCCUCACCCCACCGCUAAGGUUAAAUGGCAGCGAGAUGCUCUACAAGAUUUAGGAUAAAAUAAAUAUGUUUAAAUAAGGACGCAAAAUAAUAUUUAUUUUUUAAAACCUAUAAGGAUUUACAUAAUAAAAACUUUAAUCAAAAAUUAUCUCAAGGUGUAUUUUCUAACCUUUGUCAAAGCAAUACUUUAAAUAACAUCAAUAAAAUCAACCAAAUCAUUUGCUCCAAGAGUUGAUCCUCUCAUUUAUAGAUUGCAUUCCCUGAUAUCAAGUGAAGUAAGUGAAGUAAAAGAGAGAACAUUGUGCCCUACAGCUUAACAGCUCUGUGAAUGGCAAGGCCAUGACUUUUGCCACUUGAGGCAGCCUUCCCAUCCUCUUUCCUCUCCAUAUGCAGUCAGGCAAGGGGGUCUUUUCUCACUUCUCCCGCGCCCCCCCCCCCCAGCUUGCUUGGCCCUUUCCCCUUUCCAUCACCUUCUGAAGAUUCUUUAUUAUCAAGCUCUUUCCUUUUCAAGAUCAUUUACACCGAGGAAAUAGCAUGGCCAUUUCCUAAAGUCAUGUCAAAGUCCUGUCCAAGCAUAAAGUAUUAAUGAAUGCUAAGGCACCCCCAUGCUUUUCCCACUUCAGUCCAUUAACAUGGCAUCAAGAGCCGAUACUGCCUCCGAUUCAACAAGGAAAUAUACCUACCUACCCCUCCCCAUAGCUCCACUUUUGAGUGAAUCGAGUGGCAGAGAAUAGGAUUGAUCCCAGUGUAAACAUAGGGAAAAUUUGGGGGCCA